GAUGAACGCUGGCGGCGUGCCUAAUACAUGCAAGUCGAGCGAACGGACGAGAAGCUUGCUUCUCUGAUGUUAGCGGCGGACGGGUGAGUAACACGUGGAUAACCUACCUAUAAGACUGGGAUAACUUCGGGAAACCGGAGCUAAUACCGGAUAAUAUUUUGAACCGCAUGGUUCAAAAGUGAAAGACGGUCUUGCUGUCACUUAUAGAUGGAUCCGCGCUGCAUUAGCUAGUUGGUAAGGUAACGGCUUACCAAGGCAACGAUGCAUAGCCGACCUGAGAGGGUGAUCGGCCACACUGGAACUGAGACACGGUCCAGACUCCUACGGGAGGCAGCAGUGGGGAAUCUUCCGCAAUGGGCGAAAGCCUGACGGAGCAACGCCGCGUGAGUGAUGAAGGUCUUCGGAUCGUAAAACUCUGUUAUUAGGGAAGAACAUAUGUGUAAGUAACUGUGCACAUCUUGACGGUACCUAAUCAGAAAGCCACGGCUAACUACGUG
rnacentral:rRNA from 1 species